AUCACCGAAGUUAAGCAACGUCGUACCUGGUCAGUACCUAGAUGGGUGACCGCUUGGGAAUACCAGGUGCUGUAA